GAUGAACGCUAGCGGCAGGCUUAACACAUGCAAGUCGAGGGGUAUAGUUCUUCGGAACUAGAGACCGGCGCACGGGUGCGUAACGCGUAUGCAAUCUACCUUUUGCAGAGGGAUAGCCCAGAGAAAUUUGGAUUAAUACCUCAUAGUAUGUGAGAAUGGCAUCAUUUUCACAUUAAAGUCACAACGGCAAAAGAUGAGCAUGCGUCCCAUUAGCUUGUUGGUAAGGUAACGGCUUACCAAGGCUACGAUGGGUAGGGGUCCUGAGAGGGAGAUCCCCCACACUGGUACUGAGACACGGACCAGACUCCUACGGGAGGCAGCAGUGAGGAAUAUUGGACAAUGGGCGCAAGCCUGAUCCAGCCAUGCCGCGUGCAGGAUGACGGUCCUAUGGAUUGUAAACUGCUUUUGUACAGGAAGAAACACUGGUUCGUGAACCAGCUUGACGGUAACGUGUAAAGAAUAAAGGAAUCGGCUAACUCCGUGCCAGCAGCCGCGGUAA
rnacentral:rRNA from 1 species